rnacentral:rRNA from 1 species
GACGAACGCUGGCGGCGUGCUUAACACAUGCAAGUCGAGCGGUAAGGCCCUUCGGGUACACGAGCGGCGAACGGGUGAGUAACACGUGGGUGACCUGCCUCUAGCUCUGGGAUAAGCCUGGGAAACUGGGUCUAAUACCGGAUAUGACUCCACGGCGCAUGUUGUGGGGUGGAAAGCCUUGUGUGGCUAGAGAUGGGCCCGCGGCCUAUCAGCUUGUUGGUGGGGGAUGGCCUACCAAGGCGACGACGGGUAGCCGGCCUGAGAGGGCGACCGGCCACACUGGGACUGAGACACGGCCCAGACUCCUACGGGAGGCAGCAGUGGAGAAUCUUGCGCAAUGGGCGAAAGCCUGACGCAGCGACACCGCGUGAGGGAUGACGGCCUGG